GCGCGAGUGGCGGAAUGGCAGACGCGCUGGCUUCAGGUGCCAGUGUCCGCAAGGACGUGGGGGUUCAAAUCCCCCCUCGCGCACAA
rnacentral:tRNA from 1 species